AUGGAAGACCAUGAGCUACCCCGUGAUGUGGAGAAGCCCGCCGCUUGGUGUCACCGCCGUCCCGUUGAGGUCCCACAGGACCUCAUAUUAGAAGACAUUGAGGAUGAUGAGCUACCCCGUGAUGUGGAGAAGCCCGCCACUUGGUGUCACCGCCGUCCCGUUGAGGUCCCGCAGGACCUCAUACUAGAAGACAUUGAGGAUGAUGAGCUAACCCGUGACGAGGAGAAGCCCGCCGCUUGGUGUCACCGCCGUCCCGUUGAGGUCCCGCAGGACCUCAUACUAGAAGACAUUGAGGAUGAUGAGCUACCCCGUGAUGAGGAGAAGCCUGCAGCCCAGUAUUGCCACUGUGCUGUUCAGGUCCCAGAGGACCUCAUUUUGCAAGACAUGGAAGACCAUGAGCUACCCCGUGAUGUGGAGAAGCCAGCAGCUUGGUGUCACCGUCGUCCCGUUGAGGUCUCACAGGACCUCAUAUUUGAAGACAUUGAGGAUGAUGAGCUACCCCGUGAUGUGAAGAAGCCCGCCGUUUGGUGUUACCGCCGUCCCGUUGAGGUCCCGCAGGACCUCAUACUAGAAGACAUUGAGGAUGAUGAGCUACCCCGUGACGAGGAGAAGCCUGCGUCCCACUAUCACCGCCGUCCCGUUGAGGUCCCGCAGGACCUCAUACUAGAAGACAUUGAGGAUGAUGAGCUACCCCGUGACGAGGAGAAGCCUGCGUCCCACUAUCACCGCCGUCCCGUUGAGGUCCCGCAGGACCUCAUACUAGAAGACAUUGAGGAUGAUGAGCUACCCCGUGAUGAGGUAAGAUGCAUUUCUUUGUCUCGAAGAGAAAUUUUUCUUUCUGGGGCCUCUGGAAUAUCAAGUGAAUAUCCUUUUUGA
ensembl:lncRNA